UGCAGAAUCCCGUUAACCAUCGAGUCUUUGAACGCAAGUUGCGCCCGAAGCCGCCAGGCUGAGGGCACGCCUGCCUGGGCGUCA
rnacentral:rRNA from 1 species